GAGGUAUUAGCUCAGUUGGUUAGAGCGUCGGAUUGUGGUUCCGAAGGUCGUGGGUUCGACCCCCAUAUAUCUCC
rnacentral:tRNA from 1 species